rnacentral:tRNA from 2 species
GCCUCAGUAGCUUAAUUCCAAAGUGCCGGUCUUGUAAUCCGGAGAUUAAAGGUUAAUGUCCUUUCUGACGCC